rnacentral:rRNA from 1 species
UACGUAGGGUGCGAGCGUUGCCCGGAUUUAUUGGGCGUAAAGGGCGCGUAGGCGGCCACGCACGUCCGUUGUGAAAUCGCCCGGCUCAACUGGGCGGGGUCAGCGGAUACGGUGUGGCUAGAGCAAGCUAGGGGGCAAUGGAAUUCCCGGUGUAGUGGUGGAAUGCGUAGAUAUCGGGAGGAACACCAGUGGCGAAGGCGGUUGCCUGGAGCUUUGCUGACGCUGAGGUGCGAAAGCGUGGGGAGCAAACAGG